AUGAACGCUGGCGGCGUGCCUAAUACAUGCAAGUCGAGCGAACAGACGAGGAGCUUGCUCCUCUGACGUUAGCGGCGGACGGGUGAGUAACACGUGGAUAACCUACCUAUAAGACUGGGAUAACUUCGGGAAACCGGAGCUAAUACCGGAUAAUAUAUUGAACCGCAUGGUUCAAUAGUGAAAGACGGUUUUGCUGUCACUUAUAGAUGGAUCAGCGCCGCAUUAGCUAGUUGGUAAGGUAACGGCUUACCAAGGCGACGAUGCGUAGCCGACCUGAGAGGGUGAUCGGCCACACUGGAACUGAGACACGGUCCAGACUCCUACGGGAGGCAGCAGUAGGGAAUCUUCCGCAAUGGGCGAAAGCCUGACGGAGCAACGCCGCGUGAGUGAUGAAGGUCUUCGGAUCGUAAAACUCUGUUAUUAGGGAAGAACAAAUGUGUAAGUAACUAUGCACGUCUUGACGGUACCUAAUCAGAAAGCCACGGCUAACUACGUG
rnacentral:rRNA from 1 species